rnacentral:lncRNA from 1 species
GGCCUCCCAUCGGGACCAUCGACUCUAUCACCGGAGGGCCUCAAGGAGGAGCAGACCCCCCACAACCGUGGAACUCGGGAAACCUGUAAAUGUAUCACCUACGAUUUCACCUUGAAUCUAAAUUCCUUUCUACUUGACGUGCUCUUCCCAUUUGGCAUGGAUUUGUCACGACUGGAUAUAACCCCUUCAAAUGCCUAAAACAAAGUCAUGUUAGAAACGGGGGGAGAACCUCAUCCUAACAUACCUAAAAUGAAAGUCCGAUUCUCUCGAGAUCGAAUUGGGGGAGAGGCCUUACAACGCCCUAAUGUGCCCCC